GAUGAAGAACGCAGCGAAAUGCGAUAAGUAAUGUGAAUUGCAGAAUUCAGUGAAUCAUCGAAUCUUUGAACGCACAUUGCGCCCGCCAGUAUUCUGGCGGGCAUGCCUGUUCGAGCGUCAUUACAACCCUCAGGCCCCCGGGCCUGGUGUUGGGGAUCGGCGGAGCCCCCCGUGGGCACACGCCGCCCCCCAAAUACAGUGGCGGUCCCGCCGCAGCUUCCAUCGCGUAGUAGCUAACACCUCGCGACUGGAGAGCGGCGCGGCCACGCCGUAAAACACCCAACUCUUCUGAAGUUGACCUCGAAUCAGGUAGGAAUACCCGCUGAACUUAAGCAUAUCAAUAAGCGGAGGA
rnacentral:misc_RNA from 1 species